rnacentral:ncRNA from 1 species
CUGGCGGCGUGCCUAAUACAUGCAAGUCGAGCGGAUCUUGUCCUUCGGGACAAGAUUAGCGGCGGACGGGUGAGUAACACGUGGGUAACCUGCCUGUAAGACUGGGAUAACAUUCGGAAACGAAUGCUAAUACCGGAUACGCGGUUUGGUCGCAUGACCGRACCGGGAAAGAUGGAGCAAUCUAUCACUUACAGAUGGACCCGCGGCGCAUUAGCUAGUUGGUGAGGUAACGGCUCACCAAGGCGACGAUGCGUAGCCGACC